rnacentral:lncRNA from 1 species
AGAUAUUCUGAUGACAUGCUUAUAGGUGAAUACUAAAUUUCUUCUCUGAACAAUUUCUCUUGCUGUAUACAAUGGUCAUCUUGGAAAUAGCUUAUGUUUUCUAGAUGUUCUUGACAUAGGCCUGCUAAUGAAUAUGACACAGUUCAACAAAUGUUAACAACUUCGGGGCACCUUUUGGUUCAUUAUUGUGACCAUACACUUGUUUAUCAGCAGGCUUUUGAUUGAAGAAUGGAGAAGAGGAUUAUAAAUCCUGGCCUGCAAUGAAAGCUUAGGAGUGUAUCAGUUAAAGCAAAAUUGGCAAGUUAAGGGGAGAGGAAUAUCUUGAUGAUGGCAGUAAGAUAGUGUGAUUGUGUAUGUCCUCCAUUUUGGUAUUUUGUCCUUCAAAUAAAUGAUGGAUUGAUUGAUUGAUUUAUUGUAGUCUAUUAUUGUCUCAUGAUCUCCUCUGUACUAAGAGA